rnacentral:lncRNA from 1 species
UCCCUAAGAAAGACUGGCCUGGCUGGAAGAAGAGGGUGGCAAGAUUAGCCCUGAGGUCUGUUUAUAGACUUUAGACCAAUGGCAGAUACCCAGAAGCCCACCGGACCUCACCUUUAUCUUUCUCUAGAGCUUCAUCUUUAUGACGGUUGUGUAUUUUGGUCCCCUGACCUGCUCCAUCAUCACUACAACUCGAAAGUUCUUCACAAUUUUGGCCUCUGUGAUCCUCUUCGCCAAUCCCAUCAGCCCCAUGCAGUGGGUGGGCACUGUGCUUGUGUUCCUGGGUCUUGGUCUUGAUGCCAAGUUUGGGAAAGGAGCUAAGAAGACAUCCCACUAGGAAGAGAGAGACUACCUCCACAUCAAGAAUAUUUAAGUUAUUAUCUCAAACAGUGACAUCUCUUGGGAAAAUGGACUUAAUAGGAAUAUGGGACUGAGUUCCAGUCUUUUUUAAUAAAAUAAAAUCAAGC